ACUGACCAGAGUUGCACAGGAUGCGACGGUUGGCCAAGGCGAAGAGCGCCCCAAGAGAUGAAGUGCAGCAGCGUGUCCGGGAGCUGUUCCGCUGCCCCAGGACACACCCGCCACCAGAAAUGUAGACGCAGCAUAAAACAAGGUCAUACUGAGCCUCCAAAACGAUACUGGAGGCCAAAGACACAGCACACCUGAGUCAGGAAACCAAAACAGGAACUCAAACCGGGCAGGAACCUGAAGGAAACCACGUUACCGGCUUGCUCCUGAUGGCUCACUCCUGGCUUGCUCCUGAUGGCUCACUCCGACUGCUUUCCUACAGCACCCAAGAAUACAGCCUGGAGUGAAGUGGUACAUACCCACCGUGGGCUGGACCGGAGCAGAAAUGAGGGGUACUCUCUAGGCCUAGAUGGAGUUCCAUCCCCAGUGGAGCCCCAUCCCCAGUCUUCCCAGGCUCCUCUCAUUCAGCCCCUCCUCCAGACCAAGUACAAUUAAAACAAGCAGUUUCUAAUACCAGGUGGUGAGGAGCCCCUGCUUACUCAGGGAACGAUGUCUGUGGCCAACUGUGACUGUCAUUCAUGGUGGGGAGAGAAGAGGCAGUAACCACAGACAAGGAAUGCAGACCUGAAGAUCAGUUCUGAGUCUUCCACACAGGGCGGGGGACAGGAAAGAGCACACGGAGUCCGGGGGAGGGGCGCAAAGAAAACCGCCACGAUGGAACAUAGAAAAGCAGAGCAAGACUCAUCUCAUUUUUUACUACGUUUUUUCGUUUGAAACUUACACUCAAGAAACUGCUUGAUACUCAAUAACAUUUUAAACCAAGUCUAUUUCAUGCUUGAGUUCAGACACAGAAACAAUUGCUUCUCUUGUUACCGUGUAUAAAGGACCUUGUGGAAGGCCAUUCUUGUCUCAGAGCACAUGGCUAUUAUGUGACAGUGCUUUAUCUCAUAAGUAAUCUGACCUAGAAGAUUGGAUUCAUGCACUGGAAUGAUUUAACAACUGGUUCAAGUAUGAUGCCAACAGUUCAUGAGACAGCUCGCAACACCACUCUCUCCUGCUGUCAGAGGGUAAAGGCCACGCAAAUGUGCUUCCUGUUACACUGUCUUUAUCCCAAGCCUCUGCACAUAUGACCCUGGCUGAAAGCAGAGUUUUAUAGUCGGUUCAGAACAGAGAGUGGGGAAAAGUGGAAUGAGAAU